UGGGGAAUAUUGGACAAUGGGCGCAAGCCUGAUCCAGCCAUGCCGCGUGAGUGAUGAAGGCCCUAGGGUUGUAAAGCUCUUUCACCGGUGAAGAUAAUGACGGUAACCGGAGAAGAAGCUCCGGCUAACUUCGUGCCAGCAGCCGCGGUAAUACGAAGGGGGCUAGCGUUGUUCGGAUUUACUGGGCGUAAAGCGCACGUAGGCGGACUAUUAAGUCAGGGGUGAAAUCCCGGGGCUCAACCCCGGAACUGCCUUUGAUACUGGUAGUCUUGAGUUCGAGAGAGGUGGGUGGAAUUCCGAGUGUAGAGGUGAAAUUCGUAGAUAUUCGGAGGAACACCAGUGGCGAAGGCGGCUCACUGGCGGGAUACUGACGCUGAGGUGCGAAAGCGUGGGGAGCAAACAGG
rnacentral:rRNA from 1 species